AAAGUCGCGCAUGCUUCAGGUGUCCCGACGGUGUCUUCCCGAGGGAUGAAAUGGGAAGCCGGUGCAUCUGGCCUGUCUUGCAGGCCAUGACCAUCCCGGCGCUGCCCCCGCAACGGUAAACGAGAGCAAGGAUCUGCAGUAAGCCACUGUGCCAGUGCACGGGAAGGCUCAGGUUCAGGGAGACUUCCUCGCUCGUGAGCCCGGAGACCGGCCUGAGACAUGCGAAUCGG
rnacentral:ncRNA from 2 species